rnacentral:tRNA from 1 species
UCCCUGGUGGCUCAGACGGUAAAGCGUCUGCCUACAAUGCUGGAGACCUGGGUUCAAUCCCUGGUUUGGGAU